GCCACAGUUUGCUCCGUUGCCAUGGCGACCACAGCGGCCGCCGCCGCCGGUGUUCUGUCAAAUUAUGCUACCCGGUGAAUGCAUGGAUCUAUUAAUAAAAUCUGAUGAAUGUCCUACUUUGCGUCAAUGCGCAUGCGCACCAGUCAACAGCGUCGACUUGACUAAAACAACACGGAAUCGUCCUACAGCUGUUUAAGAAGAAAACUGUGAAAACGAUUGUCAACAUCCCCAAGAAGGCCCUCAUCCUUAUUGAUCCCUUUGGGAAAGAGGACUAUUAUUCAAGAAAAGUUCUCCACAACUGGAGGAACUACCUUAAAAGGAUGGAGAGAAGGGGCCGAGGCAUGGCAGGUGGAGACUGUGCACCACAAUAAACAGCAGGAUGCCAGUAGCUGCGAAGUUUUAGUUAUGAAGUUUGCAGAAAACUUCAUCACUGAGGAAUCCACAGAGGUCGUCACCACAGCUGAGGCUUUGCAUGAAUACAGGAAGCAGAUUGCCUGUAGCUGCUACAAAAUCCGGGCGAUGCAAAAGAUUACUGCAUAGUGUGCGCCCUGCUGGAGUGCGAUCCACAGCACAGCAUGAUAGGAAUGGUGCAGUGUGGGACAUGUCAUCGGUGGGCCCAUUUGGAAUGCGCCAAAUGGCCAAUAAGAUAACAACAAUCGCCUUGACAGAUGAAGAGGUGGCGUCUGUCAAGGCCACAUUUAAAUGUGUUAUCUGCAGAGAUCCAAUGAAGGAGCCUGUAGUGGGCGCAUGCUGCCGCAGCCUCAUUGGUUGCAGAACAUGUGUGGAUGAGUGGGUGACUCAUGAGCCCAGUUGCCCCAAAUGAAGGGAUGGGGAAUUUCGGGUGAAAAGCUUCAUCCUGACUGGCGUUGAAGACACUCUGAAUAUUUUCAAAGACACUAUUAGGGGAUAAAUAGUUUUUUUAUUAAAUUUUUUUGGUUCAUAAUAGUUCAUGUUUUAUUUGGUUGUCGUAGUGUCCUUGGGCAAGACACAUUACCCAGCUUGCCCCGUGUGAAUGUGUAUGAAUGUGUGUGAAUGUUGGUGGUGGUCGGAGGGGCCGUUUGCGCGGAAUGGCAGCCACG